AGUGAACGCUGGCGGCGUGCCUAAUACAUGCAAGUCGAACGGAGUGGCGCACGGGUUAGUAAUAUAUAGCUAAUCUGCCCAUUGCUGGGGGACAACAGUUAGAAAUGGCUGCUAAUACUCCAUAGCAAGGAAUGAGACUGUAUCGUAUCAGCUAGUCGGUGGGGUAACGGUCUAACGAGGCUAUGACGCGUAACUGGCCUGAGAGUAUGAUCAGUCACAUUGGAACUGAGACACGGGCCAAACUCCUACGGGAGGCAGCAGUAGGUCAUAUUGCGCAAUGGGUGAAACCCUGACGCAGCAACGCCGCGUGGAGGAUGACACUUUUCGUAGCGUAAACUCCUUUUGUAAGGGAUGCGUUACCUAACGAAUAAGCACUGGCUGUCGCCGUGCCAGCAGCCGCGGUAAUAC
rnacentral:rRNA from 1 species